rnacentral:lncRNA from 7 species
CUGGCUUAGUUAUGUGAGACCUCAAGAUGAAUGCAGCUAGGAUCCCUGCCAUCCUGUUCCUGGAAAUUUCUUUGUGGGACACAGUACACAAUUUACAGCAAGUUCUACCUGUGGACUAAAUGAAGCUCAGAAAUUUUGCAUCCUCGACUACCUAGAGGAAAAACAGAAAUGCUUUGUUGGCGGCUCCCAAGCCCCACCCGACAACCACACCACUGAGAACAUAAUUACAAGUUUCAGACCAGGAAGAGAAAGGAAUUGGUGACAGCUGAAAACAUUUUUCCUUACGUCUUGAUCAUGUCAGCAUCAGACUGGACCCGGAGGCUGUUCCACUUCAGCCACCUCAUUCUGACCUUUAAGAUCCAGGGGCUUCUUCCCCUGGCACCAAAGUGGGCCAGGCCCAGGAAGUGGGAGACCUGGUUUGUGAUUCCAGACUCUUAGAUACUGAACCCUCAAGUGGUAUAGAGUUUUGACAUAGAAACCCGUUAGAGCCCCAUGUCCAGGGUGCCGAUUGGGUUAGCUUUCACUUCUUAAUGUUUCCCCGUCAGGAGUGUUCUUUGUCGUUGCGUUUCUAUGAAGCUGUUUUUGCGAUGGCCCUGCCAGUGAAUGCUGCCCUCUGCAGAAGGUGCACAGAGAUGUUUUCAGGAGUGCUGAGUUGGUUCAUGGCCACUGUCUGUCAGCACAGUACAGAAGGCUCCAAGGGGUUGAUGCAAGAAGUUCUUCCAAGAUUCCUGAAGGCCACUUAGUGAGGCCACAGUCGGCCAAGGGCAGGAAGUGGCGGCUCCCAGCUGCAGAUGUGAUCGGGAUGUGUGUGAGCACUGCCCGCACUGCACAGAGGGCCAGCACUGUGACCGACCCAGACCCCGUUUCAAGCAUUUUUUUCUACAGAGACCUCCUCAGGGCAUCUCGUAUCCUUACAUGUGUCCUUGUGAGUCGUCAGUCUCGCCUUGCCUUGCCCUUUCCAUUUGGCUGAGCAAAUUCUAGCCUAGCCUCACUGGAGCUGCUUCCCCACGCAUGUAGUGGGGACGCUGUGCAAAGAGAAUGUGAAGGAGCCAGCUGUGACAGUACAAACACAACCACUUUGAACUGAGGCGCUUUGACCCGCUUGACGUUAACUGCCACCCUCUUGGGAGUCUGCCACUACUAUCCACCUGUGACGUGGAAACAGCCUCUCUGUCUGGGUUGGAUAAUGAAGCCUGAGGUAUCACAUCCAUGUAUGCUCUCCCUGUCACUGAUGCUGGAGGUGCUUACUCUAAUGUGUUACAACACUCACAUGUCACCAGUCACACCUGCACAGAACCUGCCCCCAAUUACUUCUCUGACCUUUCAAAUUUUUAUCUCUAUAAAGCAGAGGAAGCUUUGCCACUCCAAGGACUUGCAUCUUUGGCUGUCGAUAUGUCUGCUAUUGUCACUGCUUUGUGAGACCCAACCACCUGGGAGCCCAGUUAUGUGGACUGGACUUGGAUUUGUCAGGGUUCUCCCUGGGGCUGGCCUGAGAUUUAUCAUCAAUAAUAUUCCUUUUCCCCCCGGGGACUUCGCCGCAGCUGUUCACCAUGAAGCCCAGUCCACAGCUGACUAAACUAUCCAGGUCAUAGUCAACACUCCUGAAGGAAGCAAACACUGCACAUGUAGGAAGUCAGAAAGAGUACCUCUGAACUAUUCUGCUUCCCACAUCAGUCUGUUUAGAACAAGGUGUGCCAUAGUGUAAGACCUCUAUUCUUCUCCGCCUUUGGAAGGGGAUCCGGUGCUCAUUCUCACAUCCUGGCUGAUUCUCUUGGCCUCUUUCCCACCAACUCGCUGGAGGAUUUCUGCGGCAGCGAGCAGGAUGUAGCUGAGUUAGAGCAGCAGAACUGUGUUGAAAUGGCCUCGGGGGUGGGACCUCGAGAGCUCCCAGCUGUGUGUGAAAGGCUCUUGGUCAGCAUGUUCGCACAGCUGCACAAUGGGGCCCUGGCCUGCCAGUGUCACCCUUAGUUGGGUCCAGCUGCAGUCUGUUUGGAGGCCAGUCGUGCCACUGACAUCACUGUGGCUCUAAGGACACCAUAUGUGACCAAAUAACUGGUCAGUUCCUGCCGCAGGGAGGUGGCUGGCCCCCAUUGUGAUCAGUAGGUUACUUUGGGGUUCCCAGAUGCUGCCCUUCGCCUUGUGAUGGGUUUGCUGAACUUUGUGGUUCAAAUACGGGGUCAUGCUUUGACUGCGGAGGUUUUAUAACUGGAAUAACCUGUGGAGGUGCAUUAGUGGUUACCGUGAAAAUCCUUCUUUGGGACAAUCCCGUCACUCUUGCCUUGUCCAGAUGUUCUCUCAAACAAUCAGUAUUUUCUUCACUCGUGUUAGCAGAAUUCUUGGAACUCAGAUAUAAGCUGUUGUAGUCAAGACUAUACAGGUGUUCAGUGUGAAGAAUGUGAUCUUGGAUUCUAUGGCAAUCCAAGAAUUUUGGGAGCACUCUGUGCCUGCAACAACAACAUAGAUACAACAGACCCAGAAUCCUGAAACUGGUAAUGGGAAUGUUUCAUGUGUCUGAAUAAAACGCAGGGCCCAAGCUGCCAGUCCUGCAAACCAGGUCACUUUGGCUCUGCCCUCAAUCAGACCUGCAAAAGUGCUCUAGCUGCGCUUCUAGAGUGAGUUUCACUGCACAGCCCCUGGGUAAGGACGUUUGCCUUUGUGACCCUGUCACAGGAGCAGGCCCUGUGCAGUCACCGACUUUGUCAGUGACCAUUGCACUAAUGAAUGCUGGAAUCUGAUCCCUGGCAGAAUGUGUCAGCGAUGUGACUCUGACCUGACCUCUCAAGGUAGCCUCUGUGACUAG